rnacentral:rRNA from 1 species
CACCCGCAGCUCGAGUGGUGGUCACUUUUAUUGAGCCUAAAGCGUUUGUAGCCGGAUCCGUAAAUCUCCAGGAAAAUUCCUUCGCUCAACGAAGGACCUUCUGGAGAGACUGCGGAUCUAGGGACCGGGUGAGGUUGAAUGUACUUCUGGGGUAGGGGUAAAAUCCUGUAAUCCUGGAAGGACGACCGGUGGCGAAGGCGUUCAACUAGAACGGAUCCGACGGUGAGGAACGAGGGCUAGGGGAGCAAACCGG